rnacentral:rRNA from 1 species
GACGAACGCUGGCGGCGUGCCUAAUACAUGCAAGUCGAACGCUUCUUUCCUCCCGUGUGCUUGCACUCAAUUGGAAAGAGGAGUGGCGGACGGGUGAGUAACACGUGGGUAACCUACCCUUCAGAGGGGGAUAACACUUGGAAACAGGUGCUAAUACCGUAUAACAGUUUAUGCCGUAUGGCAUAAGAGUGAUUGGCGCUUUCGGGUGUCGCUGAUGGCUGGACCCGCGGUGCAUUAGCUAGUUGGUGAGGUAACGGCUCACCAAGGCCACGAUGCAUAGCCGACCUGAGAGGGGGAUCGGCCACACUGGAACUGAGACACGGCCCAGAGUCCUACGGGAGGCAGCAGUAGGGAAUCUUCGGCAAUGGACGAAAGUCUGACCGAGCAACGCCGAGUGAGAGAAGAAGGUUUUCGGAUCGUAAAACUCUGUUGUGAGUGAAGAACAAGUACGUUAGUAACUGAACGUCCCCUGACGGUAACUAACCAGAAAGCCACGGCUAACUACGUG